GGGAGUUUUUAAAGUCUAUUUAAGCCUGUGGGAGACCCCUCCAUUUUGUCUUCAGCUGGAUAAAGAGAGAGCCUCUCCACCCCCAAGGAUACCUGAAAAAAACUGGAAUAAAAGAGAGUAACUACAGGGGCUGUGAGUGAUUGCUGGACCCAGACUAGAAGGAGACUAGUCUGUAAAAGGAAGCUGACUGGACUUGUGCGGAAUGAAUUUUGUUAUGUGCACUGUAUUGAGGUAAUGCGCAGAAAACUCACGUGAUUAACUCAAAAAAAAAAAAGCAAUGAAAAAAAUUAAUCGUGAAUAAACUUGCUACUAAACAAUAGAAUACCAAUUCAAAUUUAUUAAAUAUUUUUGGAUGUUUUUCUAUA